UACGUAGGGGGCAAGCGUUAAUCGGAAUUACUGGGCGUAAAGCGUGCGCAGGCGGCUUUGCAAGACAGAUGUGAAAUCCCCGGGCUUAACCUGGGAACUGCAUUUGUGACUGCAUGGCUGGAGUGCGGUAGAGGGGGAUGGAAUUCCGCGUGUAGCAGUGAAAUGCGUAGAUAUGCGGAGGAACACCGAUGGCGAAGGCAAUCCCCUGGGCCUGCACUGACGCUCAUGCACGAAAGCGUGGGGAGCAAACAGG
rnacentral:rRNA from 1 species